AAAGUUAUUAUUAAAUGAGGUUAAAGUCUUACACAUGGUGAUUCUAACAGAGGAGCACUUCAAAUAUUUAGACUAAAAAUCAAAACACCACAGCAGUCACUAAUUUUGUCCAGAUGUUAAUACCAACACCUAGAAAAGCUAAACCAUGAGAAGAAUUAACCAAGAACUUAACACUAUCACCGAGUUAAAAUGUCUCAAUCAAAAUCCAAACCCAAAAGAAUGCUACCCAUCUAAAUUCAGACCAUGCUGUAACAGUCCCAAUUAAAUACAUGAAGAAAGUAAUUUAACUUAAUUAAGCCAAAGUAACUAGACUAAACUCUAAACAUAACCCCAAAGGGUGCUGUUAAUAACAUAACUAUAACACAUCAUAUGAUAUACUAAUUCAAUAAAGAAAAAGGAAGCAUGAAUGAUCUUCAAAAAACAAAGCCAAGCAUUCAGUAAAUUCCACUCAUCCAUAGGUGUUCAAGUUGAUCAUAUAGCUUCAAAUGUGCAUUUCAUACACUCAUAAGGUCCAAAAGGUACCUGGUUACAGCAAAAAACAACAAGGAAAAUAAGCUUGAAGUUGGAAGUAAGGCAGCAGCAGGAUUUCAGCAGUAAUGGAACAGUGCACAACAGCUUUUAAACAAUCUUUGAAUCCAAAAUGAAUUAAAAAUCCUUUGAAGGUUUCAGAGUAAAGAAGACCCUCAGCUAAUUUCAACCAAGUAAAAGGCAAUAAAACUUCAGAAUUCUUUCCAGGUUUAAGACUCAGUCGUUUCUCAGCUUUUAGGUUCUUUUUAUCUCUGAAUCUUCCUUGACAAUGAAGAAACAUGCCUCUUUAUAGAAGCUUUCUAGUGCAGCAGAAUGGGUUUCAGAUUUUGCCCAUUACUCCUUCUUUAAUUUUCAUUUUGUUCAUUUUAGACCCUGAAUUUCUAAUCCAACUACUGAACUAACCCAACCCUCUCUUUCCUGGAAGCUUCCCAGGCAGUUUCAACUAGAUUCCCUCAGUCAAAAUUCUUAAACUACCCCUUUAAACCUCCAUUAUUCACCCUCAGCAGACCACAUGGGUCAAGUCUGACCCAAGACUUAAACAGGCUUCUUGAAAUGGGUCAAAGAUGGCCUCAAAGCCCAAUCAAUAAAUUGACCCAUAUCACGAAAUCAAUUUCAGUAGUUCAGAAAUAAAGAAAAAGGAAACAAGCCUAGAGUUACAUGAUUUCAACAUCAAAACAUGAUUGAACAAACGACCUAUGAGACUAAACUAAAUAAACUACAAUUAAACCAAACUAAAAAAUUGAAACAAAACUUAAUUAACCUAAUUAGAAUAUUAGAACACGAAGGACUCUUAAAUGAGCACACUUAACAAAAUCAAACAAACAGAAUCAAAUAAAUUAGAAAAGAUGCUGACUAAAGAUGACCUUAAGCAUAGAAUGAAUACAGAAGUGAUUUGAAAAAAACAGAAAAAUAAAAAAUAAAAAAGACGAGGAAAAAACAGAAGAAGAUGAAAAUGAGAAUAAAAUGUAAAAUGAAAGAAUGGAAAAUAGUAGGAAAAAAUACCUAGAAAUAGGCGGGUUGAAGGUGGACUUUGAAAAUGUCUUCAAAACCUUCAAUUUUAGCCGAAAUCAACUUCGACUCCAAUCCUUCACUGAAACUUGACGAUUUGGGAGAUUUGGGAUUUUGGCGUUUGGGAUCUUGACCUUGAAUCUAAAAUUCAAAACGAUGGGGAGGGAUUUGAGGGAAGUUGCUUCAGGAUUUAGGAAGAGGAGGGGCUGGGGGUUAUAUGGUGUAGUUUUGAGGUGAAAUAGAGGUGGCGCCGCCAUCGGAGGGGUGAGGAUUUUAGGGCGGCGUUCUAGGGUUCUUGAGGGUCUCUGAAGGAGGAGAUGAAGUGAAGAGAGAUGGACCAGAGGGGUAGGUCAUUCGGACAGUUAUAUGGGGAACUAAAGCCAGU
rnacentral:lncRNA from 1 species